rnacentral:rRNA from 1 species
UGGGGAAUAUUGCACAAUGGGCGCAAGCCUGAUGCAGCCAUGCCGCGUGUGUGAAGAAGGCCUUCGGGUUGUAAAGCACUUUCAGCGAGGAGGAAGGGUUCAGUGUUAAUAGCACUGUUCAUUGACGUUACUCGCAGAAGAAGCACCGGCUAACUCCGUGCCAGCAGCCGCGGUAAUACGGAGGGUGCAAGCGUUAAUCGGAAUUACUGGGCGUAAAGCGCACGCAGGCGGUUUGUUAAGUCAGAUGUGAAAUCCCCGCGCUUAACGUGGAACUGCA